rnacentral:rRNA from 1 species
UACAGAGGGGGCAAGCGUUGUUCGGAAUUACUGGGCGUAAAGGGCGCGUAGGCGGCCUUCUAAGUCGAACGUGAAAUCCCCGGGCUCAACCCGGGAACUGCGUCCGAUACUGGAAGGCUUGAAUCCGGGAGAGGGAUGCGGAAUUCCAGGUGUAGCGGUGAAAUGCGUAGAUAUCUGGAGGAACACCGGUGGCGAAGGCGGCAUCCUGGACCGGAAUUGACGCUGAGGCGCGAAAGCCAGGGGAGCAAACGGG